rnacentral:lncRNA from 15 species
UACACCGAAAACGGAACGAACGACAUAUAGAAGAGGAGAGAGUANAAUAUAUAUAUAUAUAUAUAUAUAUAUAUAUAUAUAUAUAUAUUAUGGCAUGCCGUUUAGGAAAUGAAGCUUUGGACAUAUGGAAUGAAGCUUGGAUAUACUGAUAAAAAUAUGAGAAUACUGAAUGAAAUUGAAAACCUAGUUGUAUCCUUUUCAUCAAAGUGAUAGCCUUCUGAAUCAGCUGGUUUUACAAAAUGGCAUCAGUUGAAAUAUUACAAUACUUUCUUAAACUGGAAAACUUUUUUGCUUUUUCUGUCAGGAUUUAGCCUGAGGCCUGUUGUAGUCGGUCUGCCACCAUUAAAAAGGGAGUGAACUUCUUCGUCAGGAGAACGGUAUUGGGCACGGGUACUAUGGGAAGGAUUUUGGCCCGUACAAGCACUUGUCAAUGAGUUAAUAAUGUCCUCAUUGCUCAGUAUUGCUGCCACAAGGUUCCUGACUGACUCAUUCUCACUUCUACAAGAUGGCAGCAGUGCCUUGAUGACCAGUCAAGUUUCAUUCAAUAUAUUCAAAGUUUCAUUCUAUAUAUUCAUCAACUGAUGCCAUUUUGUAAAAGCAGCUAA